UUCACCGAGCGUAUACCCACCUUUUGUAUGUCAUUGAUGCUGUAUUCUAAUCCCCGUAUUCACCAUUGACUCUGACCUAACGCUUAACUCCCAGUUCCAAAAACCCGGUUUGGAAACUUUGACCGAGAGAUCAAAAGCGAUUCCACCAUUAUUUUUUGACCGUAGUUUUCUUAACUGCGGGUUACUUGACCGGCAGUUACAGACGGUAGAUUUAUAGCCGUAUUAACUGCGUUUGUUUUUAAUUUUCGUUGCUAUUUUUUUUAAAAAAAUUUCUUUUAAGAAAAAGAAAAAAAGAUUACAUCGAGUAAUUAAAUUUGAAUCUCUCUUUUUCUGGUCAAAUAAAAAAUAUGUUUAGUUUCGUUUUCCUAACUGACUUGUAUUGAUGAGCAAAAGGAUCCGAGCUUUAUUAUUAUGAAUUUAGAUAUUUUAUUAUUAUGGAUAUCAUAAAGCCGCAAGCAACCAUAGAAAUGUAACUGAAAUUCAAUUAAAAAUACUUUUAUUUCACACAAUUAUUUAAUACUUUUAUUUUACACUAUGAUCAAGGGGAUUAUGCUAACAUCAUUAUCAUCCUUAUGCGCGUAUUUUUAAUCUUUUUUUUUCUUCCCCUUCAUAACAUAUUAUCGAUAACUUAAACCAUUGAGAAGAAUUGUUUUUUUCUAAAUUUUAAAUGAAAUCGUAUAUAAUAAACUUCUUAGUACACAUAAGCAUAAAUCAACACUCAGAAGUUAUAAAUGACGACUAUUGUGCUGCCAUCUGCCGAUGAUAAGAGAGAAUCGACGUCGGUGAUAUGGUGAAUAAGAUAACAAUUUUUUAGAAGGAAAAUGUCAUAAUCGGAACAAAUAUUCCGAAACUUUAAAAAAAAUCAUACCUUUAAAAAUUUAAUUAUUUAGAUAAUUGUACAUGGAAAUAUAUCAGUUGUAUAAAUGCCCCAUAUGUCAUAAAGUACUUUUAUACUAUAUAUAUAUUAAAUAUAUUAAAAAUAUAUAUUAAAAAUUAUAACUAAAGGCGGGCAUUUUAAUUUCAUAUAGUUUUAAGCAAUAAAUCUCUUCCAAAUCUCAAGUAGCACAAUUCACAAAUGCGAUAUCGUAAGAACUUAGCUUUGAACAUUGUACAAUAUCGUAGCGAAAUAUUGUACUAUAUAAAAAUGGACCCCUUUUAUAACGUAUAUUCAAUAUUGCAAAACAAUAUUGUAGAAACGUUGGGGAACGUCGAUCGACAUCUCUCUGCGUUUACAAACGUUGCACUAUGUCGACCGACAUCGUCAACACGAUAUUCAAAAAACGAAUGCUAUGGGAUGCAGAUAAUCGCCAAAAUUACGUUAUUUGAGAAAAUAAAAAUUAGUUUUAGAAAAUAUUCAUGCCUGUUUGUAAGCUGGAAAAACCUAACAAAACCGUUCUAGCUUGUUUAAAAUUAAAUUAUUUGUUAUUACCAAAACUUGUAGAAUUUUUUAAUUAUUAUUUAAUAAGUUUGGGUAGGCAGGUAUAUUUUACUAUUAUUCUAGAAAAUAAGCUAGAAAGUAAAUAGUUAUGUUAAGAUGUUUCUUCGCUUUUUCAGGGUACAAGCAGCCAUUUAUACUGUGAAAUAAUUUUAAUAUUUUAAGUGAUUUGUGCAAUAAUUUUUACAGCAUCUAUAUUUUACUAUGUAGAUUAAAAUUACAAUACGUUUAAUUUAAAACGAUAAACUUUUUUGCUGUGACAUUUUAGUAUUAUAUAAUCUGUAAUUUACUAAAAUAGUAUGCAUGGAAAACAAAAGUCCUUAUCUUCACAGCAUCAGGUUCGAUUUUAAGAAAACUGAUAAAAAGAAUAAAAAAAAGCAAUAUUUACACUGAUGUUGUCAUAAUAAAAUAAUAGGAGUCACUUCCUCAGAUUUCUGACUUAAAAAAGGGUGAGCAUGGUACAAUUAACUGUGAUCUAAUUUACUUAUAGCCUUUAUCCAUUAAAGUGUUGCCAAAAUAUCUAUUAGGGCUUGAACGGUUGUCAAAUGUGUAGAUGAAAUAUAAUUUUUAUUAAAUAGUAAAGAAUAAUAUACUAAUUUCUCUAAUUUAUUGUAUUCUUUAAUACAAUCAAUUGUUUCUGAAACAAAACUGUGUCAGUUGAGGCAAACUUAGUCUUCCUGCCUUCCCGGUCAUUGGCGGUGGCAAGAACUUCACCAAAUUUUUCAGCUUUUUCUAGUCAGCUAGUUUCUUUAAACAGUCUGAAGGUAGCAGCUGAAAAAAAAUAAGACAUGAACUGUGGUUAAUUUUAAUACUUUUAAAUUGAAAGACAAAUAGUUAUAUUUAAAAAUUACAUGAACUAAAGUAGACAUGAGCACAACGCAAGUACUACUAACAGCCCUAGGUUGACAAUUCUUUUGUAUAGAAUCAGAGCAGUUUUUAAG
rnacentral:lncRNA from 1 species